rnacentral:misc_RNA from 1 species
CCCCUGAAGCUGGGCCUCUCCUCAAG